UACGGAGGGUGCAAGCGUUAUCCGGAAUCACUGGGUUUAAAGGGUGCGUAGGCGGCUUAGUAAGUCAGAGGUGAAAGUUCUGGGCUCAACCGAGGAAUUGCCUUUGAUACUGCUGAGCUUGAAGGGAGAUGAGGCAGGCGGAAUGUGACAUGUAGCGGUGAAAUGCAUAGAUAUGUCAUAGAACACCAAUUGCGAAGGCAGCUUGCUGGUCUCUACUUGACGCUGAGGCACGAAAGCGUGGGGAGCGAACAGG
rnacentral:misc_RNA from 1 species